rnacentral:rRNA from 1 species
UUAAAUGGCCGCAGUAUUUUGACUGUGCUAAGGUAGCAUAAUCAUUARUUUUUUAAUUGAAAAMUAGAAUGAAGGGUUGGAUGAAAAAAUUACUGUCUCUUAUUAAAUUUAUUAAAAUUUUAUUUUUAAGUUAAAAAGCUUAAAUAUGUUUAAAAGACGAGAAGACCCUUUAGAGUUUUAUAAAUAAAUAAUUUHAAAUUUUUAGUAUUAAAUUUUUAUAAUUAUUUAUUUAUUUAAUUGGGGUGAUUAAAAAAUUUAAUAAACUUUUUUUUAAUUAAUAAUAUUAAUAAAUAAAUAUAUGAUCCAAAAUUUUUGAUUAAAAGAAAAAAUUACCUAAGGGAUAACAGCGUAAUUUUAUUGGAGAGUU